rnacentral:lncRNA from 1 species
GACCCUUCAACUGGGUCUGCAUGGGUGCCUGAGAGGUGGCCUUUUGAUAUCAGAGGGUCAAAAACUCCACCCUCAAGAUCAUGCUAAUGUUGCCAUUUUCUGUACAUAUGUCCUGUGAACUGUUCGUCCACCUCAUCUCUUGGUGACCUAGUGUGUAAAUCUUUUCUCUUUUGCAGAAUCUAUGUCACAGUGAUUGAUUUACUGCAUAUGAGCAGAAUGAACCUGGACCUGGCCAGUAUCAUUAAGGGUCUCACUUCAUCACCUAGACUGGAGUACAGUAGCACAGUUGCAGCUUCCUACAUCUUGACUUCCUGGGUUCCAGUGAUCCUCCCCCUUCAGCCUCUCAGAGAGAGAAAGAAAGCAGAGCUCUUUGAAGCAGAGAAAGAAAGCAGAAAGCAGAGAUCUUUGAAGGCUUAAGAAACCAUAAGGAGUUUUGGAGAGUCAAUGCAUGAUGAUCUCUGAAGAUUCUACUGAAAUCUAAUCAAUAUGUCCUCACUGCCAUCAAUUCAAAAGAACUUGCUAAGAAGGCUCUAGAGGCUUGUACUCUCAGAUAGUGAAAGUGAGAUGAUGUGUAGUGAAAGUCAUAUAUAGGUUGUAAAUUGCAAUAUGGAAUUCCCAAAUGCUGAAUUCAUUUUAUCUCUUCGGAAAUAAAAACCUGUUAAAGACU